CGGUGGCUAUGCCGAGGGGGUCACACCCGUUCCCAUCCCGAACACGGAAGUUAAGCCCCUCUGGGCCGAUGGUACUGCAUGGGUAGCUAUGUGGGAGAGUAGGUCGCCGCCGGGAA
rnacentral:rRNA from 1 species